GCCUAAAUAGCUUAUUUUAUUAGAGUUUAACAUUGAAAAUGUUAAGGAAUUAUCAAUUAUUUUUAGGUA
rnacentral:tRNA from 1 species